GGAGCAUUGUCGGGGUUGCAGGCUAAGGAAGUGGGACUUACAAAGGCAUCAAAAAUUAAAUAUCUGAUCAUAAUUGGAGGUGCGAAAAUGCAGAUUAAAUCACUGGCCGAAAAAGCUUAUUCACCAGCAAUUACAUGCCCUUCCGUUCACUUUUUAGGUGAGAAAGACUUCCUGAAGCCGUAUGGGAUGGAACUUUUGGAAUCAUAUGUUGAUCCAGUGGUCAUUCAUCAUCCUAAGGGCCAUACUAUACCAAGAUUUGAUGAGAAAGGAUUAGAGAGCAUGCUUAGUUUCAUUGAGAAGGUGCAAGAAGAGAUUAGUACAAGUGAACAAGUUUGAUGAAAUUACAUUUUUAUAUGAUAGAUAGCUCCUCCUUUGGGAAGUAUGUCUUAUCUUUAAUUUCUUAAAAAUAAUAUGGCUUUGAAUAACUUAAAUUUUUUGACGCUCUACAAAAGAAAAAUUCUAGACCUUAGAUGAAAAGUUAC
rnacentral:misc_RNA from 1 species